UCAACCUUGGUACCUGUAAUAUGGGUUUGUGGCCUUGGAGGGACUACUGUUCUUGGCCGAUCCCAUUUCUUCCUUCCUUUUUUUUCUUUUCAGUGUAGAUUUGGUCUGUUGGAUAGCUCGGAUCUUCUUUGGUCCUAACCUGAGUCCACCCCCGCAGCUGGUGCUUCCACAGGGAGACCAUCGACGGCGGCUAGUUUUCCUCCUCGUACACCUCCUGUAGGUUGGUAAAUGGCGGCGGAUGGGUAUCAUGGCCCAAGGAUCUGUUGCGGUAGGGAGGAGGUGGAAAGGCAACCUUUCGACGCAGGGAUCUCUGAAGUGCAUUUCGAACUGAAAUAUUCUCCAACACGCAUCAUUCCCUGUUAUAUAUGUGCAUUCUAGAUAAAUCAUGGUUUGGUUGGGCUAUGGACGACGAUUAAGAUUUAUGUGCUUGUUGUACAGGGGAGUACAUUGCGCUCGCACUUGAGACUUUGGUCGUCGGCCCCGCUUGUCACAAUGGUAUAAAACAAAUUUAUGAAGAUUCACUAUUUUUAUUACCUUUCAUCACCUUAUAAAAUAAAUUUUCCGUUGUAUAAGUAAAGGAGAUAGAUUUUCAAGACCAGUGAUUUUGCAGAAAUAUUUACUGAUAAAGAGGAUUUUAUGUUCCAAUCUCUUUGUGGUACAUAAACAUUGUGAGUAUUUCUUAGUACAAGCUGACCGAAGCAAUCUAAUGACUGAAUUUUGGACAAAUUUCUUUUGGA